rnacentral:lncRNA from 1 species
UUCUCUUUUAUUCUUGAUAAAAUGUAACUCAAGAUAAACAUCUCUUUUAAUAUAAAUCAAACGAAGUAUAUAGACCAAAUCAAACAAAACAUUCGGGUCUUCCCUUGCUUACCAAAAAAAAAUUAAAUACACUACAUGACUUUUAUGCUUCAAAAUAUGGCCAAGUUGUUCCAUCAAAUACCGAAAAAUAGGUGGCUUAUGUCCUUUCCAGCCAAUUAUUAUAUAUGACACGUUAAGAUUGCAUGUCUUUUUCUCUGUUCCACCAUGAAUAGUACAAUUUGGUGUUGAUAAUACGAUUUUCAAAGAAUGCAACAAAAUUGAAUGGACAACUCGAUAGGGACAAAGUUUCUUUAGGUAAUUUGCUUCUUUCUUUU